rnacentral:rRNA from 1 species
AAUAGAUACCCAGGUAGUCCACGCCGUAAACGAUGAGUGCUAAGUGUUAGAGGGUUUCCGCCCUUUAGUGCUGCAGCUAACGCAUUAAGCACUCCGCCUGGGGAGUACGGUCGCAAGACUGAAACUCAAAGGAAUUGACGGGGGCCCGCACAAGCGGUGGAGCAUGUGGUUUAAUUCGAAGCAACGCGAAGAACCUUACCAGGUCUUGACAUCCCACUGACCGGUAUAGAGAUAUACCUUUCCCUUCGGGGACAGUGGUGACAGGUGGUGCAUGGUUGUCGUCAGCUCGUGUCGUGAGAUGUUGGGUUAAGUCCCGCAACGAGCGCAACCCUUGAUCUUAGUCGCCAGCAUUUAGUUGGGCACUCUAAGGUGACUGCCGGUGACAAACCGGAGGAAGGUGGGGAUGACGUCAAAUCAUCAUGCCCCUUAUGACCUGGGCUACACACGUGCUACAAUGGAUGGUACAAAGGGCUGCAAGACUGCGAAGUCAAGCCAAUCCCAUAAAACCAUUCUCAGUUCGGAUUGCAGG